AACGAACGCUGGCGGCAUGCCUAACACAUGCAAGUCGAACGAGACCUUCGGGUCUAGUGGCGCACGGGUGCGUAACGCGUGGGAACCUGCCCUUAGGUUCGGAAUAACUCCCCGAAAGGGGUGCUAAUACCGGAUAAUGUCUUCGGACCAAAGAUUUAUCGACUUUGGAUGGGCCCGCGUUGGAUUAGCUAGUUGGUAGGGUAAAAGCCUACCAGGGCGACGAUCCAUAGCUGGUCUGAGAGGAUGAUCAGCCACACUGGGACUGAGACACGGCCCAGACUCCUACGGGAGGCAGCAGUGGGGAAUAUUGGACAAUGGGCGAAAGCCUGAUCCAGCAAUGCCGCGUGAGUGAUGAAGGCCUUAGGGUUGUAAAGCUCUUUUACCCGGGAUGAUAAUGACAGUACCGGGAGAAUAAGCUCCGGCUAACUCCGUG
rnacentral:rRNA from 1 species